rnacentral:lncRNA from 1 species
CGCAAUGGCACAAUCUCGGCUCACUACAACCUCUGCCUUCUGGGUUCAAGCAAUUCUCCUGCCCAAGUAGCUGGGAUUACAGGCACCCACCACCAUGCCCGGCUAAUUUUUGUAUUUUUAGUAGAAAUGGAGUUUCACCAUGUUGUUCAGGCUGGUCUCGAAAUCCUGACCUCAGGUGAUCUGCCUUCCCAGAGUGCUGGGAUUAUAGGUGUGAGCCAUCGUGCUCUGCCUGUUUUAAAUUUUAAAAUGCAUCUGUAAUUGUUUUUUAAACUGCAAAAAUGAAUUAAUUAAAUCAUAAUGGAAAUAAGAGUAUUGUAAUUUUCCUACCCAUUACAGUGUACAUAAGCAUCACUAUAACUAGUGCUAUCUACAUAAAAUAUUCAAAUCAGUAUACAUAUUACAGUAUUACAGUGGUACCAUAGAAAAUAUUCAAAUUGAGGCUGGGCGCAGGGCUCACACCUGUAAUCCCAGCACUUUGUGAGUCCGAGGUGGGCAGAUCAGGAGUUCAGGAGUUAGAGACCAGCCUGACCAACAUGGUGAAACCCUGUCUCUACUAAAAAUACGAAAUUAGCCAGGCAUCUUGUAAUCCCACCUACUCAGGAGCCUGAGGCAGGAGAAUCGCUUGAACCUGGGAGGUGGAGGUUGCAGUGAACCAAGAUCAAGCCACUGCACUCCAGCCUGGGUGACAAGAGCAAAACUCCAUGUCAAAGAAAAGAAAAAAGAAAGAAAGCAAAUAUUCCAGUUAAAUCAGGUCAUUGAUUUUGACUAGAUGUCUAAGUGUCAUGUACACCUAGGAGGUAAUACUAGAAACAAUUGGGUAUACCCAACCCUCACACCACAAUGCAAAAGUAACAUUAAUUAACACAGUCAUGAAAUGCAGUUCUACCAAAACAAUAAAGUUGUUUAGUGGAGAAAAUAUUUUAUUUUGCUUUCAUUUUUAAUUUUAAAUUAAGUAAAAUUUGAAAGUUCUUUUGCACUAGCCCACCUAUCAAGUAGUCAGCAGCCACGUGACUGGUACCUUCUACAUUGCACCACACAGUUCUAGAAUUUCAUAUAAAUGAAAUCAUUUACUAUAUACUCUUUUUGGCAUCUUUCAUUCAGCAUAAUUGUUCUAAGAUUCAUGCAUGUUAUGUGUAUCAAUAGUUCAUUCCUUUUUAUUGCUAAGUAUUACCCCAUUGAUUGGAUAUACCACAAUUUUUUAAUCCGUUCAUCUUGUUGAUGGACAUUUAGGUUGUUUUUUAGCGUUUAGCUUUUACCAGUAAAGAUGCUAUAGGCAUCCAGAUAAUAGUGUUUGUAUGGACACAUGCUUUCAUUUUUCUUCAGUAAAUAACCCAGCAGUGGAAUGCUGUCAUCUGGUAGGUAUAUAUUUAAUCUUUUAAGAAACUGCUAAACUGUUUUCCAAAGUGGUUGUACCAUUUUGCGCUCCCUCUAGCAUUGUAUGAGAGUUCCAGUCAUUUUAUAUCUUUGUCAGCACUUAUAUGAUCAGCCCUUUUAAUUUUAGCCAUUCUAAGGAGGUGUUUAGUGGUAUCCUCUUAUGGUUUUAAGUAGCAUUCACUAAUGACCAAUGAUAUAAAGCAUUUGUUCAUAUACCAUACCUGUUUUGUCUUCUUUGGAGAAAUGUCUGUUUAAUUUUCCUCCUAUUUUGCCUGAGCAAGUUGGGGAAAUAGACUGUUGAGUUUUAAUAAUUCUUUAUAUAUUAGAUACAAGUCUUUUGUUGGGUAUAUGUUCUUUAAAGAUUUUCUUUCUUGGGGCUGAGCACAGUGGUUCAUACCUGUAAUCGCACCAUUUUGGGAGGCCAAGACAGGAGGAUCACCUGUAAUCCCACCAUUUUGGGAGGCCAAGACAGGAGGAUCACUUGAGGCCAGGAGUUUGAGACCAGCCUGGGCAACAUAGCGAGACCCUGUCACUACAAAAAAAAAAUAAUAAAGGAAAUAAAAAAACUUAGCCAGGUAUGAUGGCGUGUACCUGUAGUCCCAGCUACUCAGGAGGCUGAGGUGGAAGGAUCACUUGAGCCCAGGAAGUUGAGGCUGCAGUGAGCUGUGAUUGCACCACUGCACUCCAGCCCGGUUGACAGAGUAAGACCAUCUUAAAAAAAUAUUUUUUUCUUUCUGUAGCUUGUCUUUUCAUUUUAAUAGUAAUCUUUCAGAGAACAGAUGUUUAACAUUUUAAUGAAAUCCAAUUAAUCUUUUAUUUUGCAAAUUGUGGUUUUGAUGUUGUAUCUAAGAACUCUUUGCCUAACCUAAUUAUUUGCCUAACCUAAUGUCACAAUAUUUUUUUCGAUGUUUUCUUCUUAAAGUUUUAGUCUUACAUUUAGAUCUGAGAUCUUUUUGUGCUAAUUUUUUUUUUUUUUUUGCAUAAGCUGUGAGGUUAGGUUGAAGUUCACUUAUUUUUGCCAAACAAUAUCCAAUAUUCCAGCACCAUUUGUUAUAAAGAUUAUCCUUACUCCAUUGAAAUGUCUUUGCAGUUUUGUCAAAAAUCUGUUGGCUGUAUUUCUGUGGGUCUAUUUGUAUACUCUAUUCUUUUCUUUUUUUUUUUGAGAUGGAGUCUUGCUCUGUCACCCAGGCUGGGAUGCAGUGGCACAAUCUCGGCUCGCUGCAAGCUCCGCCUCCUGGGUUCAAGCCAUUGUCCUGCCUCAGCCUCCCGAGUAGCUGGAACUACAGGUGCCUGACACCAUGCCCGGCUAAUUUUUUGUAUUUUUAGUAGAGACGGAGUUUCACCAUGUUAGCCAGGAUGGUCUUGAUCUCCUGACCUCAUGAUCUGCCCGCCUCGGCCUCCCAGAGUGCUGGGAUUACAGGUGUGAGCCACUGCACCCGGACUGUAUACUCUAUUCUUUUGCAUUGAUGUAUUCUAUUUCAUUCCAUGGUGUUGACCUGUGUCUCAUUGCCAAUACUACACUGUCUUAAUUACUAUAGCAAUUACUUAAUUACUUAUAGUAAGUCCUAAAUUCAGGUAAUGUGAGUCCUCCAACUUUAUUCUUAUUCAAAUUUGCUUUGGCUAUUCUAAUUCCUUUGCAUUUACAUAUACAUUUUACAACCAGCUUGCAUAUGUCUACAAAAAUCCUGCUCAGAUUUUGAUCUGUGUUUUGUUAAAUCUACAGAUCACUUUGGGAAGCAGUGACAUCCAACCUGUAUCAAGUCUUCUAAUCUGUGAACAUGAGAUGGGUCUCGGCUGUGUUACCUAAGCUGGAGUGCAGUGGCUAUUCCCAGCACAAUCAUAGUGCACUACAGUCUCCAACUCCUGGGUUCAGGUGCUCCUUGUGCCUCCGCCUCCUGAAUAGCUGGGAUUGCAGGCAUGUGCCAUCAUGCCUGGCUAUGUGCCUUCAAAAAGACUACAGUUGUGGAUGGAGUGUUUUAUCAAUAUUAGUUGGUUUAUGAUUGUGUUUAGUUCCAUAUCCUAGCUGAUUUUCUAUCUGUUCUGUCCAUUCUUGAAGAGUCCAACUAUAAUUUUGAGUUUGUCUAUUUCUCCUCAAGUUCUGUCAGUUUUGCUGUAUAUAUUUGAGGUCUGUUUUUAGAUGUGUACACAUUUUAAAUGGUGUUGGGUCUUUACCAUUAUGUAAUGUCCCUCUUAAUCUAUUGUAAAUUUCCUUGCUUUGAGGUAUAGUUUGUCUUAUGUAAAUAUAAUCAGUUCAGUUUUCCUUUGACCAGCAUUUACGUAACAUAUCUUUUUCCAUUUUUAAACUUAUAAUCUACCUAUAUUAAAAUAUAUAGUCAGGCCAGGUGCAGCGGCUCAUGCGUGUAAUCCCAGCACUUUGGGAGGCCGAGGCAAGCAGAUCACUUGAGGCCAGGAGUUUGAGACCAGCCUGGGCAACGUGACGAAAACCUGUCUCUACCAAAAAUGCAAAAAAUUAGCUAGGUGUGGCGGCAUGUGCCUGUAGUCCUAGCUACUCAGGAGGCUGAGGCAUGAGGAUCGCUUGAACCUGGGAGGCAGAGGUUGCAGUGAGCCAAGAUGGCACCACUGCACUCCAGGCUGAGUGAAAGAGCAAGACUCUGUCUCAGAAUAAAUAAAUAAAUAAAUAAAACAGCAGCAACAAAAUGUAUAGUCAUGUCUUUUUUUAAAAAAAACUCUUCUGUCAUUGUCUUUUAGUUGGUGUGAAUAGACCAUUUACAUUCAUUGUUAUUGUUGAUGUACUUGGAUUUAGGUCUAUCAUUUUGUUAUUUUCUGUUUGCUCUCUUUUGUUUGUUUGAGACAGGAGACAAGGUCUUGCUCUGUUGCCCGGGCUGGAGUGCAGUGGUGCAAUCUCGGUUCACCACAAGCUCUGUCUCCCAGGCUCAAGUGAUCCUUGUGCCUCAGCCUCCUGAGUAGCUGGCACUACAGGCGACCACUGCCAUACCCCACUAAGUUUUGUAUUUUUAGUAGAGACGGGGUUUCGCCAUGUUGGCCAGGCUAGUCUCAAACUCCUGGCCUCAGGUGAUCCGCCCGCCUCAGCCUCCCAAAGUGCUGGGAUUACAGGCGUGAGCCACUGCAUGUGGCUGCUCUCUGUUUUUUAUGCCUCACUGUUUCCUUUCCUGCCUUCUUUUGGGUUAUUUGACUAUUGCUUAGUAUUCAAUUUUAAUUUAUCAAUUGAUUAUUUUAUUAUAUCUCUUUGUGUAGUGUUCUUUAGUGGUGGCUCUAAGAAUUACAGUAUGUACACCAAACUUUUUACUUUCUGCUUAGAAUUAAUAUUUUACCACUUGUAAAAUGUAGGAACCUGGCUAUCAUGUAGGUUCCUUUCCCCUGUCCUUACUAUGUUGUAGUUAUCAUAUGUAUUGCAU